UUUAUAUUGGCAGAUGUAGUGCAUUGAAUUUAGAAUUCAAAAAAAUAGUUUUAAUUAUAUAUAAUA
rnacentral:tRNA from 1 species